UUCCGGAAUGCGGGGAAUCGAACCGCGCGCUUCGCGCGCGUGAGAGCCGCAAAAUCCUAACCCAGUAGACCACAUCGGA